rfam:Triticum aestivum genome assembly, contig: Triticum_aestivum_CS42_TGACv1_scaffold_471030_6AL
UUGGUACUCCCUCCGUCUGAAAAUACUUGCCGCAGAAAUGGAUGUAUCUAGAUGUAUUUUAAUUUUAGAUACAUCCAUUUUUAUCCAUUUCCGUGACAAGUAAUUCCGGAUGGUGGGAGUAUUAU